GGCAGGGCGCUGCUAUAAUGCAGUCGAGCGCGGGAAGCAAGCUGAUCCUCUUCGGAGGUGACGCUUGUGGAACGAGCGGCGGACGGGUGAGUAACACGUGGGCAACCUGCCUGUAAGACUGGGAUAACCCCGGGAAACCGGGGCUAAUACCGGAUAAUACUUUUCAUCACCUGAUGGAAAGUUGAAAGGUGGCUUCUUGCUACCACUUACAGAUGGGCCCGCGGCGCAUUAGCUAGUUGGUGAGGUAACGGCUCACCAAGGCAACGAUGCGUAGCCGACCUGAGAGGGUGAUCGGCCACACUGGGACUGAGACACGGCCCAGACUCCUACGGGAGGCAGCAGUAGGGAAUCUUCCGCAAUGGACGAAAGUCUGACGGAGCAACGCCGCGUGAGUGAUGAAGGUUUUCGGAUCGUAAAGCUCUGUUGUUAGGGAAGAACAAGUGCCGUUCGAAUAGGGCGGCACCUUGACGGUACCUAACCAGAAAGCCCCGGCUAACUACGUGCCAGCAGCCGCGGUAAUACGUAGGGGGCAAGCGUUGUCCGGAAUUAUUGGGCGUAAAGCGCGCGCAGGCGGUCCUUUAAGUCUGAUGUGAAAGCCCACGGCUUAACCGUGGAGGGUCAUUGGAAACUGGAGGACUUGAGUACAGAAGAGGAGAGUGGAAUUCCACGUGUAGCGGUGAAAUGCGUAGAGAUGUGGAGGAACACCAGUGGCGAAGGCGACUCUCUGGUCUGUAACUGACGCUGAGGCGCGAAAGCGUGGGGAGCGAACAGGAUUAGAUACCCUGGUAGUCCACGCCGUAAACGAUGAGUGCUAGGUGUUAGGGGUUUCCGCCCCUUAGUGCUGAAGUUAACGCAUUAAGCACUCCGCCUGGGGAGUACGGCCGCAAGGCUGAACUCAAAAGAAUUGACGGGGGCCCGCACAAGCGGUGGAGCAUGUGUUUAAUUCGACGCAACGCGGAAGAACCUUACCAGGUCUUGACAUCCUCUGCAAUCGGUAGAAGAUACCGAGUUCC
rnacentral:rRNA from 1 species